GCUAGGGGAGCAAAUGGGAUUAGAGACCCCAGUAGUCCUAGCCGUAAACGAUGGAUACUAGGUGCUCGAUAGAUUCAAUGAGUUCUUGCCAAUAACCACGGCCGCUGAUUAGUUCGUGAACUUGGAGGAUUACGUGAUUCGUCC
rnacentral:rRNA from 1 species